ensembl:lncRNA novel transcript
CAGCUGUUGAGAUAAAAAAAUUUGUUGUCAUUUAUUCCCAGGCACAGCUGUUUGUCAUUUGCAUUGAAAAAGUCUCCAUUCAAACUGCUGUCACAUAUAAAAUCUAUUUAUGUAAGUCUGUAUUUUUCUGUUGUCUUGGCCUUGGUGGGCAGUAGUGUGUUUUAACUGAGCAAACUGUCUUUCCAAAUAAUGAAGCUGAAGUCAGCCUACCUGCUUGCCAUUUUUCUUCCCCUUCCAUUUUUCUAAUCUCCGGAUAAUUGUAAGAAUGAAUUAAGAUUUGUGUUUAAGGCCGGGCACAGUGUCUUAGGCCUAUAAUCCCAGCACUUUGGGAGGCAGAGACGGACGUAUCGCUUGAGCUCAGGAGUUCCAGACCAGCCUGGGCGACAUACUGAGACUCUGUCUUGUAUAAUUAAAUUAAAAUUUAAAAAAA